GAGGAAUUUUCCGCAAUGGGCGAAAGCCUGACGGAGCAAUACCGCGUGAGGGAUGAAGGAUUUUGGUCUGUAAACCUCUUUUCUCAAGAAAGAAGUUCUGACGGUACUUGAGGAAUAAGCAUCGGCUAACUCCGUGCCAGCAGCCGCGGUAAUACGGGGGAUGCAAGCGUUAUCCGGAAUCAUUGGGCGUAAAGCGCCUGUAGGUUGUUUAGUAAGUUUGUUGUUAAAGACUAGGGCUUAACCCUAGAAAAGCAAUGAAAACUGCUAGACUAGAGUAUGGCAGGGGUAGAGGGAAUUUCUAGUGUAGCGGUGAAAUGCGUAGAUAUUAGAAAGAACACCGGUGGCGAAAG
rnacentral:rRNA from 1 species